CAGCAGCCACGGGAAUACGUAGGGUGCAAGCGUUAAUCGGAAUUACUGGGCGUAAAGCGUGCGCAGGCGGUUUGUUAAGACAGAUGUGAAAUCCCCGGGCUCAACCUGGGAACUGCAUUUGUGACUGGCAAGCUAGAGUGUGGCAGAGGGGGGUGGAAUUCCGCGUGUAGCAGUGAAAUGCGUAGAUAUGCGGAGGAACACCGAUGGCGAAGGCAGCCCCCUGGGCCAACACUGACGCUCAUGCACGAAAGCGUGGGGAGCAAACAGGAUUAGAUACCCCUGUAGUCCCUGUCUCUUAUAC
rnacentral:rRNA from 1 species